UGUGGGCUGUCCCUGCGGGUCAGGGGCCUAUAAGUCAUCCUCUAGUGGGCUCUCAAUGCGACUUCCCUACCCUGAUCAUCCUGUGCUGCACUCAUCUCCUUAUUGUCUUCUCUUCCUCCUACAGCAGCUGCCUGGGUCCAUGGGUCCCUGUCACAGCACAAGUGCAGCUCAAGGUCCCAGGCUCCAACAAAGAGUCUGAAAAAAGAAUCAAGUGGCCUCUAAUCAUUCAGUCCAGACAUGGGCCCUGACUGAGGAAAAUUAGCACCAGCCACAAGCAAAACCCACUGGAAGGAGUGAAGGAUAGUGUAAUUGACUCCUUCUGGCCUCAGUUUCCUCGUGGAAAAUGGAACAAGAAUGGUUCUUAAUCUGGUCUGGGCUCAAACCUGACUCUGCCCUUUCAGCUGUGACCUUUAGGUCAGCCCCUUCCUUGCUCUGAGUCUCAUACCCUUCACUGGUCUCUGAGUAGCAGAUAAGGAGAUGUAAGCAAAAGGGCACACGGAAGCUACAAGCCAAGAGCCAUGUGGAGGCAUGGAACACUCUAGAACAGAGCACACAUCUCAGUGCUCAUUGCCUAAAGCAGCAGUGUGCUUCAGAUGAUGAAAAACUAUCUGAGGAGACUUAGCGAGAUGUGUGGCUUCAAUUCCAGGGUGUGGUUGAGCUCCUCCCCAUAUCAUUCUUCUUCCUCUGGGAGCCAAUUGCUAUCUAUCUACAGAAUAAAGGAGACAUUGAUAAGACUGACUGCAACCCAGUUCACCUGCUCAGAAGCUGGUAAUCAAAAAUGCCAAUGGACACAGACAAAAAUAGGCCCAAGAAAAGCCUUCUCUCCCUAGCCAAAGGACCGUGAAAGCAAAGACUGAGUGAGCAGCCUGGCUUCUGGACUCAUCUGGCGUUCCCACCACUCUUAUGCAACUAAUACUCAAGCCCUAGACAGUGCAUUAAGGUAAGAAAAGGAAAUAGAAGGCAUGCAUAUUAGAAGAAUAAAACUAUUUGCAGAUGACAUGAUGACCUAUGUAGAAAA